rfam:Rachicladosporium sp. CCFEE 5018 unplaced genomic scaffold Supercontig_14, whole genome shotgun sequence.
GGACAGAUGGCCGAGCGGUUAAGGCGCUAGCUUCAGGAAGACUAGGCAAGGCUCAGCCUGCCAGGUAGAAUUCGCUAGUCUGAAAGGGCGUGGGUUCGAAUCCCACUCUGUUCA